GCUUGUGGAAUCAUGUAACUGAGGGCUAUGGGAAAUAGCAGGUGGUGGCUUGUUGGCCAGAUUUCAGGAGCAGAGAUGGAGGCUUCAGAAGUGGACACUGCAUACAAGAGAAGGAAAACAAAAAACAAACCAGCCUCAGAUUACAGGGUUAAAGCUAAACAGUGAAGAGCUCCCUUGUGUACCUGACCUGACUUUACAUUCCUCUGCCGCAGUUUCCUCAUGGGUGGGCGCCUAUAGGAACUCUUUGAUCAUUUCUCACGUGAUGCCUCGUUUUCUGCACAAGGAGCCUUUCACGAAAAAUGUUGAAAAAAAAGACAGAAAGAAAACGACUGUUGUCAAAACAUAUAAUAGCGUUGAUCCAAUAAUCUAACAAUUAUCCAUCAAACACUUUGCCUGGAAGAUUUUUGUCUGAACAUGAUAUAAUUACCCAAGCCUGAGUUCUGGGUUGGGAGGUAUUGUGGUGGUUUGGAGCCGAAACCACAGAAGGGAUUAGCUAUCAUAAACUCUUCACCAGACUUUGCUUUAGGGGCUCUGUUCAGCUAAAACAGGCAUGUGCUUUGCUCACUGAAAGACAGAGACAACCAUAACACAAGAGCACAUCACAUAACUUUUCCUGUGACCCUCAUAAAAACUAUUUACCAGUUAUUAAUGGUUUUAUUGACAACACCCAUUAUAAUUAUUGUACCAUUUAACGUUGCACUAAUCAAUAUUUUAAUACAGUGUGCUAAUUGACUGUAUUAUGUAGAAAGGGUCACAUGUAGCAGCAAAUUACCUUUCAGCUAAUAGUUUGGGGUUUGGGUCGCAGUCCUUAUUGCCCUCAUGGGACUAGCUGUUUAAAACACACUUUACCCUAACUGUUCAUUAUCAUUCUACAGACAGUGUUAACAACUGUUUAUAACACACUGGAGUUCAAACUAAACUCGUAUAUAGCUUAUAUGUGGCUAAAUAAGCACACACACUCUUUUCAUUACUACUAACAUCUUUACAAGAAGACAAAAAUAUGGUAAAAUUGUAUCGAUAAUGGUUAAAAAAAAAAGAAUCAUCCUAAAAUUAACUGACACUGAAACUAAAAACUGCCGAGCUUUAAACAACAAUGUGGUUAAUUGCUAUAGAAGAAAUAAGUAUCUUACAAAAAGGUUUCUGGGUAUCGCCACCUCAAAUUCAAUCACUAUAAAUUCAAAUAUUUUUCCCAUGUAACUUCAGAUGAAAAUGAAAUGCAAACCUGUAACCUGCAGCAGACAUGUAAGUGAUUGAAGUUCCUGUGCAGGCUAAGCCAUUGCUUUCCUAAAGGGAGAGAGGGGCCACAAACUAGGCCGUAGCGCUUCUAUUAGACUCCUGCAUCUUUAAAUUCAAAUUAUUCUAACUUUCCCCUUGGUUUCCACUUGUUUUGAAAGCGCAACCAGUGAUGUAACUUCAAUAACAUAGUCAGAAAUUUUGCAUGUAAGCGAGCAGUCCUGGAGGAGAAACUCAUUUAUUUAGUUUGAUUUAGUUUUCACCUUUCUGACCAUGUAUGCAUGUGUCUGAUCCUCUUUAUGUAGUGGACCUCAAUGUGGAUUUCAUCAUUUGAGUUUCUCACACUUCAGGAAUAACAAGGUCAAUGCUAAUACUUGCUGAAGCGCUUUUAUAACAGCUUUCUCUUUUAAUGCUUACAAAACAAACAAACGCUCCACACCUUUUUACUUCAGUGCUGAUACCACUGAGUACAAACAAUUAGGCAUUUGCGGUUUCCCUCUAAUAAGAAUAACAGACGCACUACAUUCCAGUCACAACAUAGUUUAUACUAUAGUUGCACACAGAUGAAAGACAUACCUUUGUAGGUGUUCAACACAUUUACAAUGAAGAAAAAUGAAGGGAACGGCUUAAUUUAUCUCAUACAUGAAACAUUCAGGGUGUCUCCACCAGAGAAUGCCUGGGAAAGUCAGAUGAAAAUUAGCCACAAAGAAAACAUAAUUAAGUAACUAUGGGUUGUUCAGGUCCAUCAAGAUUAUUUUUUUCCAUCCCACAUUGCUUUAAAAGCCUGAAAAUUAUUCAAAAGAAAAGCUAAUAUCAAAUGGAAUUUAAAAUUGUGUGUAAUGAGCUGCUUGUAUACUUUCCUUUAAGACUCACCACCUGAGGCAACUUUUUAAAAAAUCAUUAAAAUCAGUACCAUUACAUAUUAUUUUCAAAAAGAAGUAAGGUGACUGAAAAAAAACAACUAUUAUCUUAUUCAAAGCCUUUCAGACAUUUUGGAAAGCACCCCAGGAUUACACAGAGCUUGAUUUUAACAAAACAAUUACCCUGGGAGUGGCACACUGAGCUGUCAUGUUCAUCGAGGAAGGGCAAGUACUGUAUGUCAGACAGAUGAACAAGUCGGGGCUGUGUACUUAUUGUUGUCACCGGCUGGUUGUGGGGUCAACAGAAGGACUGGUUGAAGGGGUGGAGGUAUGUCUGGAAAGUGAGAAGGUAAACUGAGAAGAGGCGCAUCUCUCUUUGCUCUCACCUGGCGACGUGUGAUAAAGUGAAAACAUGAACAACCCCAAUUACAAUGUCAGACCAGACUGUCACUUAAAAAAGAAGCAUAUGCCAGCAAAGUUCUGCUGUUUUGUCAGAUUUGUUGUUUUUUUCUCGGCGUUUUUUAACUGAAUUGAUAGGACAGCUGAAGAGGGACCGUAAAGGUGGGAAGGAAAGAGGGGGAUAGACAUGCAUCACAGGGCCAAGGCCCAGAUUCAGACCUGCAGCUGAUGCUUCAAGGACUGCAGCCUUUGUAUAUGGGUCCCCUGCUCUAACUCUAACUGAGCUAAACCAGUACCCUGGUACCCCGGUAGCAACAAUACAUUUCUCCUACCCUGUUUAGGUCCCCCUUGCAAAAUCAGACUUUGUUCUAUCUCUCAUACAGAACUGAGUCUAAAAACAACUAUUUCAAAUGAUGAUGUUAAUUUUGUGGAAAAUUGACCUUUACUCUCUAUUUCAGCCUUACAGCAUACUGUUUCCCAAGCAACUUCACAGUUGAGGGCACAAACACAGUGCUGGAAUAUUGCAAUCCAAGUCCUUGCUCAAAUGUCAGGGAUACAAUCCAACAUGUAUAUUGUGACCUUAGGCUCCUAGUCCUGACUUCAAAAAUCAGUGAAUCAUGAAGUUCAUGGAUAGUUACCUUUUCCCAGCAUCAAACAGGAAACACUAAACCAGGUGUAAUGUAAACAUGGAGUCUGGAGGUUGGAAGUCACGCACAAACGAUUCCAUGCUUCCCCUGGCACCAAUACUGCAAAUACACGGUGCAGACUUUCAUUGUUACACAGAUGACACUCAACUCUAUGCCCUGUAAAAAUCUGCCUGCUAGAAAUUAAAGAUGUAUAUCAAAAAAAGUUUUACAGUUCAAUGACUCCAAAUCUGAAGUGCUAAUUAGUACCUCCGCCCCCUAGUACUAGCUUGUCCUAUCAAAUAAUGUUUGCUAGUGCCUUCAACCUAGGGGUCAAAUUUGACUCGGAGCUAUCUUUUGAUACCCAGGUAAACCUAUGCAUUCCUGCUUUGCUCAACUGAGACAACUAACCAAAAUCUGAUAAUUCCUUUCCUUUCCCCAAGGACACUUGCAUCAGGAUGAUGUUAUAUUUGUUGUUGCGAGCAAUCUGAACAUUUAUAGGGGGGUACAUUGUGGUUUAAAAAAAAAUACAUGUUCAGAUGGAGUUCCAUCGAUGCAGCCCACGAUGCCAAGGAGGCCAGAGGUCUGGUGGAAAUAAUGUUUAAUAAAAAGGCCGACGGCAGCUUAGUGCCAGUGACCCCCUGCGGAUGGGCCUGACAGGUGGUGGACUUGUGGAUGCCAAUCAUGUCUCCAGCACUGUUUUAAAAAGCACUGUUUGCAAAAAAAAUGAAGUACUAUCAGCAGCUGCAGCAUUGGUGACGGUGUUGCAUUUCAGUCCGACACAAACUGUAAGUACGGUGACAGCUCUUCAGGCCCUCCUAUAGAAUCAAAACCUCUCAAUCAGUUCCUCAUCAACUAUAUGUCCAGUGAAUUGAUCCCUUACAAUUCUCUCCCAACUAAACCGCUCAUUGUAAAGCCUGUAAAUUAGGUAUGCCAUCAUUAACACUUUUCUCUUACUUGUGUCUAAUGUUGUUGCGAUAGUGAGGGCCAGGACUCCUGCCUAGGCGUAAGAUUUACGACCGGUCUUAGUGAAGAGAAGGCUUAAGCCGUGCUGUUGCAGCGGUCGUGUCAGGUUGGACUUAGAACGGCAAGUUAAGACUGACUUAGCUUAAGACCAGGCGUUAACCCUGUAGGUGCAAUGGGCCCCUGGUGACUUCGAUAAACUCAUACAUGCAUUCAUUUCUUCCAGCCUUGGCUAUUGUAAUGGAGCUCAGCGUAAGUUCAGACAGGAAGACUGGUUAUAUUCUUUCACAAAUUAAUUCAUUCUUUCACUUCAACCUAAACUACUUCCUCUGUCUACCUGCUCUGGUGAUCAGCUGAUAAUGGGCUUUUAUUCUUUAAGUAAUUAACCAACCAGAUUCGGGCACAACUUCUCUCAACCAAUCAUCCUGCUGCGGCAAAAUGCUAAAACAGUUCUCUCUCUUCCACAGUCAUUCUGUCAUUUCAGGGCACCGCUGCAACCCACCACCGUCCCAGUCACCUCUAUUCCAGCUCAGCAGAGUCCAGAUCCAGGCUCAUCAUAGCCUACAUCCUCUUCACCACCACCAGUGUCUAGACUCCAUAGGGGGGUAUCCUAACCUGCUGUCGGCCUCAUUACCCUUCAGAGUACAUGAAGUCGUCACGUUGGAGUCUAAUCCCCCAAAGACUUUGCACAUUCAAAUCUAAAUUGUUGCACAUUUAUUGUUAAAUAAAUAAUUGUUCAUUCUCAAUUACGUCUCUCCUGAUUGAAAUGCUCUUUGUUCCAGCAUCAGCAAGUGUAACAUCCAAAGACUGCAGUGUAGUUCAAAACGCUGUUUCCGGGCAUUCAAUGCAAAUAGCAAGAGAAGAGACCACAUUCCACCUGUCCUUGCAUGACUUCGCUGGCUUCCCGUAAUAUCUGUGAUAUACUAACUCCAGUCCAUAUGAGCUUUAACGCUGCCUGAGAUCCUCCUGGGCCCAACUAGCAGUUCUAAACUCGACUGUUCACAAAAGGGGGCUGAGCCUUUGCAGCUCGAGCCCCAGAGCUGUGACACUCCCUGCAGGCAAACUCAGCGUCCUCUUUUAAAUCGGUUCUUAAAAUUCACUUUUAUCCGUUGGCUUUUCUUAACCACUGGCAUUGUUGUGUACUUUUUUUUACCAGGCUUUUAUGUUAAAUUGAUGUUGUUGUUAUUUACCGUAGAGAAUAAAGAGCGUGUUGUGUACAGACUAACCCCGUGGAGGUGAGCUCUAUCUUAACUAGGCUUGUGCACUGGCCUUGCCUUCCUUGUCCUCUUUCUCUGCAGAAUCUCCUUUCUGUUUCCCCUUAUGUCUCUUCGUUGUUGGGAUGAGGGGUUUCUUCUUUCUAUCUAGUCCUCAAAUUGGUAACAGGUGUCUUGUGUUUAUUUGAAAUACCUGUUUAUUUGCCUGAUUAUGUGUUUUAUUAUUAGUCGAUGCAUGCAUUUUUUUUUAAACAAUUUUCUUGCUUUUAUUAAUUGUCAAACACUUUUUUUUAAUGCUACAUUAAUAAAGUUAUUAUUAUUAUUUGUGA